UUGUGACAGAGUCUUGAAUAUGAGUUUUUAUAGUAUCAACUAAAACAUAAAAUGAAGUAUUUCCCAUGAGGGGAAAGGAAAGGACAGGGAGUAAAGAAUCCACACUUAGGUGGCUAGAGAAUGAAGGAACAUAAAAAACAAAAAAUACAAAGAGUGGCUUUCCAAUUUGGAUUCAUUUGUAAAAUUACUAUUUCACAGAAGCAGUGGGAAGGGGUAGGGGAGAAAUGAAACAAACCACAAAACAGAACUAUCCUCACACUCAGAGUGCUAGGAAAGAGAAUAUUUCCUGACUUGCCUUAGGACCAAUUAAGCAAUAAAAGGAAAAUCAGCUACUCCCACACCCUCUUCUCCCAGCUCUACCAAGAGCCAGCUUCUCCUUCUGCCCCAAACCCAAAAAUAACCCAGGCUAUUGCUAAUAUUCUCACCUAUAUUCAAAGUUUACCUGCUCUCGGGCCAAUUCCCACAUUUUUGGUCCCACAUCUCUAUACUUUCCUUGGGUUCACCAGAAUAAUAAUCCCUGGAUUCACAAGAAAUAUUAAAAUUUGAAAUUUAAAAUUCAAGUAUAUUUUUAAAACUUUCAAAAAUACCCAUUUUGCUAAGUGUGUAAACAGAAAAUUAAUGCUAAGUCUGUGAAACAUGAGAUCUUUGUUAAAAGAGCAAAAUCAAAUCCAAAACCUGACCAGACAGCUCCAAGAUCCCUGCUUCCCGGAUUGACGACUCCUUCAUUCCACGCUCUUGGCUCCUAAUUUGUCCUUACAUGGGUCACCUAGAGCCCUCCAUCUGUCUGACCCCCUCAGUUCCAUCCUCCCACUCACCAACAGUGCCACGGGGCUCCCAGGCAGUUGGCACCCCAGCUGCCACUGCCUGGCAUGAGAACUCUGGCCGAGACCAGAGGGAACCAUCGCAUUAAAGGAAAUGCUGACUGAACAGAGGCUGCAGAUGAAAGGUUUACUUCUACUCCAUCGUUGAUAGCAGAUGCCUGGUGCCAAGAAAACCCCCAUUCUUCAAUAACCAAAUUUAUGGAGGAUUUUGUUCCCCAGAAAACAUGCAAGAGCCAAUUAACAUAGUCCUACGUUUGAAAUACGUGUUAAAUAUAAGGGGUUUUAUGACACUGAAGAAUCUCAACUCAGCCUACUUAUUUCCACCCAAGAAAGCAGUAAGUUAACCGGAAUCCUCUCCCAGAAACAUCUACUAGGAAACCUAGGGCUGAAUUACACAGGUUCUUUAAGUACCUAGUUCCAGAGAGAGAAAACUCAAUUGUUCUCUAAUUGUUUCAUAAGUGUAGGCUGAUCUCUACACUAGACUAAUCUGUCCUGUAGCAAGGACCGAUUUCUCUGGCACAGAAUCUUGCACUUAAGCAUAUGGUUGGGCAUUUGGUAGACAAUGUAAAUAUUUGCUAAUUUGUCUAAAAAUUGUUUUAAAGCAAUUUUUUAGAUUAUUUUUAGAAAGAAUGUUAAGUUGUUUCCCCCCCCCCUUUUUUUUAAACUGGGAACAUACAGCUAACCCUAUUUGAUAAAGAAAGCAAAGAAACUAUCAUUGAGCUCUUUACUGCCUGAAUUAGAAGGCAGGUGGAGUGACUGUUUUGAGGAGGGAGAAUCUCACUUUAUUUUGCCUUCAUUCAGCUGCAUUCAGCUGCCUACUCCUUCCUCCGUCACAGCACAAAAUGUUCAAUAAAUGGCUCAAUGCAUUAAAUCUUCGUAAGUUAGGAUCGGAGGUGCAGUUCUGCCAUCUUGGUCAUUUCUACCAUUGCUUUUACUCUUUCUUUCUUAUUUUUCCUUGGCCCCCAAACAAGUGGCAUUCAGAAGACAUCUGGAAGCACUCAGCUCAAGAGCUCAGUGAGGACGGCACCCCAACCUCCCUCUUCUAAACCAGAAGCUGACACCAGAAAGUUACAGGUUGUCCUCCUGGAAGAUAAAGGUUAUCUUUCCGGGUAGGAAUCACACCCCCACCUAAGGAAUUUUACCUUCUGGCAUUAUGUCAGACAUAUCUGGAUGGCACAAAUGUCUUUGAGCAAUGGAGAUGCAAAUUAGAAUGUUUAUACAAUAGAUGUAACUAAACCAUAGACUUUACAUUAAAAGAUAAGUUUUAAAAUUCACUUCAAACAUUUCACUUCGGACUACUAAUCUUAAUUUUGGAGAAACUGGUACCACUUUAAAAUUUCAGUGAUAGGAUGUAUGCUCUGAUUCUCCUCAUUCAAACACAAUGCUGCUGUUCAUCCACGGAGCAGAAAAAGAAAUUUUUUUUUUCUUGGUUUUAAGAAGUACAGCAUUUGGGUUACUUUUAAAACCCAUAGUUGAAAAACAUUCUGUAUUAUAUUUGUGACUCACUCUCAAGUGAAAUGUCACCAUACACCCACUCUUCUUUUUUAGGUGAUAAAUAAUAAAAUAUUAGAACAGAACUUUAGUUACAAAGUUCCUUACAAUUUACAGGGAACAAGUGCUUUUAAAAUAAUAAAAAUUAAGCGACUCUGUCGUCUUGUUUUUACUUUUUUACAGUUUAGAUCUCAGGAAAAACUAACUGGGUCUGAGGAGGUAUUAAUCAAAAAACUUUUUUCUUCACAUUGUUAUCCCAGUGUCUCCCAAAACAAUAAAUAAGACACCUGAAAACCUUCCUGAAACUUUCUGGUAACCGAAAUCUUCUCUAUCUUGAUUAGGUUUGGGAUCCUACAGGUGUAUCUAUUUUUUGAAACACAAACUGUACUCUUAUGAUCUCUAUACUUUACUGUAUAUAAAUUUUGGCUCAAUAAAAAGGUUCUCUAAACCUUUCUGCAAACUGCAUUUCAAUAUCUAUAACCAGUUGUCCAUCUCAGAGCUGAGUUUUUCAUGGGUUAUUAAAGCCAAAAAGCCAAAAAGAACUCCCCCUGCCCAAAAGCCAUGGACUAACCUCCCCACCUUGCCCCACAUCCUCCAGACAUUUUCAUCUCAAAUCCGU